UUAUGCCCUAAAUUGAUAUGGAAAAAUGGAUGGACGGUGUGGAUAAAACUCAGAGGGGGUAUUACCUAAUCCGCGUCCGUCCUUAUUAGGGUUUCUCUCGUCCCUUGGCUAAAACCCUAACCCUAUAAAUACGGGAAGAGAGGUUCAUAUCUUCUUCCUCGGAAAACUGAAAUCGGCAGAGCCUCUUGAAAGAAAGCGAGAUAUCGAAGGGAGACAGAGAAGAAGAAGAAGAUGAGGGCCAAGUGGAAGAAGAAGCGUAUGAGGAGGCUGAAGAGAAAGCGCCGAAAGAUGAGGCAGAGAUCCAAGUAGAGAGUUUUGACAGACAAAUGGUGGGUCAGGUAUCUCUCCAACUGGACCCUCAUCAUCCUGCCAAUGUGUUGUUAGGGAGGGAUUUUUGCUUAUCCCCACUUACCUAUCAUUGGGUUGAGGAUACUCGAGGAGAUCUGCCUAGAAGCCAUAUAGUCUGUUUUUAGUUUCAUGUUUUGCAGUUUUAGAUUCAGACCUUGUGCUGGUGUAGCUGGUUGAUCAGUUGUUGUUUGGACCCUUGAGAGAUUCUUGGAGUUAAUAUCACCCCUUGUGGUGGCUAUCUUUCUUUUUGAA